CCCGCUGAACUUAAGCAUAUCAAUAAGCGGAGGAAAAGAAACCAACAGGGAUUGCCUCAGUAACGGCGAGUGAAGCGGCAACAGCUCAAAUUUGAAAUCUGGCCCCAGGCCCGAGUUGUAAUUUGUAGAGGAUGCUUCGGGCGCGGCGCCUUCCAAGUCCCCUGGAACGGGGCGCCUGAGAGGGUGAGAGCCCCGUACUGUCGGACGCCAAGCCUAUGUGAAGCUCCUUCGACGAGUCGAGUAGUUUGGGAAUGCUGCUCUAAAUGGGAGGUAGACCCCUUCUAAAGCUAAAUACCGGCCAGAGACCGAUAGCGCACAAGUAGAGUGAUCGAAAGAUGAAAAGCACUUUGAAAAGAGGGUUAAACAGCACGUGAAAUUGUUGAAAGGGAAGCGCUCGUGACCAGACUUGCGCCGGGGCGAUCAUCUGGCGUUCUCGCCAGUGCACUCGCCCCGGCUCAGGCCAGCGUCGGUUCGUGCGGGGGGAUAAAGGUGUUGGGAAUGUGGCUCCCCCGGGAGUGUUAUAGCCCUUCGCGUCAUGCCCCCGCUAGGACCGAGGUUCGCGCUCUGCAAGGACGCUGGCGUAAUGGUCACCGGCGACCCGUCUUGAAACACGG
rnacentral:rRNA from 1 species